rnacentral:rRNA from 1 species
AUGAACGCUGGCGGCGUGCCUAAUCCCUGCAAGUCGAGCGCACAGAUGAGGAGCUUGCUCCUCUGACGUUAGCGGCGGACGGGUGAGUAACACGUGGAUAACCUACCUAUAAGACUGGGAUAACUUCGGGAAACCGGAGCUAAUACCGGAUAAUAUAUUUAACCGCAUGGUUCAAUAGUGAAAGACGGUUUUGCUGUCACUUAUAGAUGGAUCCGCGCCGCAUUAGCUAGUUGGUAAGGUAACGGCUUACCAAGGCAACGAUGCGUAGCCGACCUGAGAGGGUGAUCGGCCACACUGGAACUGAGACACGGUCCAGACUCCUACGGGAGGCAGCAGUAGGGAAUCUUCCGCAAUGGGCGAAAGCCUGACGGAGCAACGCCGCGUGAGUGAUGAAGGUCUUCGGAUCGUAAAACUCUGUUAUUAGGGAAGAACAAAUGUGUAAGUAACUAUGCACGUCUUGACGGUACCUAAUCAGAAAGCCACGGCUAACUACGUG